GCCAAGCAGUCCAGUGGAAAGAUGGAAUGAUUUGAAACCUUAGGUCAGGGGAUCGAAUCCCCUAUGGGUA
rnacentral:tRNA from 1 species